GUGGGGAAUAUUCCGCAAUGGACGAAAGUCUGACGGAGCAACGCCGCGUGAGUGAUGAAGGUUUUCGGACUGUAAAGCUCUGUUGUUUAGGACGAAAGUGCCUGUUGCAAAUAGUUACAGGUAUUGACGGUACUGAACGAGGAAGCCACGGCUAACUACGUGCCAGCAGCCGCGGUAAUACGUAGGUGGCAAGCGUUGUCCGGCAUUAUUGGGCGUAAAGAGCAUGUAGGCGGGAAUCUAAGUCUGUUGUGGAAAUGCGGGGCUCAACCCCGUAUUGCGAUGGAAACUGGGUUUCUUGAGUGCAGGAGAGGAAAGGGGAAUUCCCAGUGUAGCGGUGAAAUGCGUAGAUAUUGGGAGGAACACCAGUGGCGAAGGCGCCUUUCUGGACUGUGUCUGACGCUGAGAUGCGAAAGCCAGGGUAGCGAACGGGAUUAGAAACCCGAGUAGUCC
rnacentral:rRNA from 1 species